UACGGAGGAUCCGAGCGUUAUCCGGAUUUAUUGGGUUUAAAGGGAGCGUAGGCGGGUUGUUAAGUCAGUUGUGAAAGUUUGCGGCUCAACCGUAAAAUUGCAGUUGAUACUGGCAUCCUUGAGUACAGUAGAGGUAGGCGGAAUUCGUGGUGUAGCGGUGAAAUGCUUAGAUAUCACGAAGAACUCCGAUUGCGAAGGCAGCCUGCUGGACUGUAACUGACGCUGAUGCUCGAAAGUGUGGGUAUCAAGCAGG
rnacentral:rRNA from 1 species